UACGUAGGUGGCAAGCGUUGUCCGGAUUUAUUGGGUUUAAAGGGUGCGUAGGCGGCCUUGUAAGUCAGUGCUGAAAUAUCCCGGCUUAACCGGGAGGGUGGCAUUGAUACUGCAGGGCUUGAGUAAAGUUGAGGUUGGCGGAAUUGACGGUGUAGCGGCGAAAUGCUUAGAUAUCGUCAAGAACACCGAUAGUGAAGACAGCUA
rnacentral:rRNA from 1 species